GAUGAACGCUGGCGGCGUGCCUAAUACAUGCAAGUCGAGCGGCAGCACGGUCUUCGGACUGGUGGCGAGCGGCGGACGGCUGAGUAACGCGUAGGAACGUACCCCAAAGUGAGGGAUAACUGCUCGAAAGAGUAGCUAAUACCGCAUGUGAUCUAAGGAUUAAAGCUUCGGCGCUUUGGGAACGGUCUGCGUCCGAUUAGCUAGUUGGUGAGGUAAAAGCUCACCAAGGCGACGAUCGGUAGCUGGUCUGAGAGGAUGAUCAGCCAGACUGGGACUGAGACACGGCCCAGACUCCUACGGGAGGCAGCAGUAGGGAAUUUUCCACAAUGGGCGAAAGCCUGAUGGAGCAACGCCGCGUGCAGGAUGAAUGCCUUAGGGUUGUAAACUGCUUUAUAUGUGACGAAUAUGACGGUAGCAUAUGAAUAAGGAUCGGCUAACUCCGUGCCAGCAGCCGCGGUAA
rnacentral:rRNA from 1 species